rnacentral:rRNA from 1 species
UCAUGGCCCUUACGGGCUGGGCUACACACGUGCUACAAUGGUGGUGACAGUGGGCAGCGAGACCGCGAGGUCGAGCUAAUCUCCCAAAAAGCCCAUCUCAGUUCGGAUUGCACUCUGCAACUCGAGUGCAUGAAGUUGGAAUCGCUAGUAAUCGCGGAUCAGCAUGCCGCGGUGAAUACGUUCCCGGGCCUU